UUGACCUCGGAUCAGGUGAGGAUACCCGCUGAAUUU
rnacentral:rRNA from 1 species